rnacentral:rRNA from 1 species
UACGAAGGGGGCUAGCGUUGCUCGGAAUCACUGGGCGUAAAGCGCACGUAGGCGGAUUGUUAAGUCAGGGGUGAAAUCCUGGAGCUCAACUCCAGAACUGCCUUUGAUACUGGCGAUCUUGAGUCCGGGAGAGGUGAGUGGAACUGCGAGUGUAGAGGUGAAAUUCGUAGAUAUUCGCAAGAACACCAGUGGCGAAGGCGGCUCACUGGCCCGGUACUGACGCUGAGGUGCGAAAGCGUGGGGAGCAAACAGGGAUUAAGAAACCCUUGGUAC